CGCGAAUGCGAUAGGUGACCGGCGGGCCGUUCGGAGUCGCUGGCGGGAACAGGAUCGGCAAGCCAGACGCCGCAUCGCCCUUGGGGACGUGGACGCGCAAGUAGGCCGCGGCGUCGUCGCGUAGUUCCGCAUGCUGAGCAUGCCGGAGGCGCCUUUCCUCGGUGGCCCGCGCCUGCUCCUCGGCGCGUGCGAUCUGCUUGGCGGUCUUGCGUUUUGGCUUCUUCUUUUGCCUUGCGCUGUUCUUUUCGUCCCUUUCGUCGGCGGUGGCCACCGCCGACGCAGUCGUGGUUGUCGUCGGGGGUUCGUCGGUGGGCAGGUCGGCGGUGAGAGCGGCCAUGCUGGCGGUCAGCGGGGCGAUGCGGCG
rnacentral:lncRNA from 1 species